rnacentral:lncRNA from 1 species
AUUCUUCAGCGGGGCUCUAACAGAGGGAGCGCUGAUUGGGAAGCAUUCAGUCAGGAAAUUAAAAGAAAGAAGCCAGAACAUACCACCAGCCCUUUGAGUAUACAACAUAACAAACGUCAUUACUUUACAACUUGAUUAGGAGACAGUACAGAGAUCUGAAGGAUGGCUGACGAGAGGAAAGACGAAGGAAAGGCACCACACUGGACAUCAGCCUCACUCACAGAGGCAGCUGCACACCCCCACUCGCCAGAGAUGAAGGACCAGGGUGGCUCAGGGGAAGGGCUGAGCCGCAGCGCCAAUGGAUUUCCAUACAGAGAGGAGGAGGAAGGCGCCUUUGGGGAGCACGGGUCACAGGGCACCUAUUCAGAUACCAAAGAGAACGGGAUCAACGGAGAGCUGACCUCAGCUGACAGAGAGGAAGUGUCUGCAAGGAUAGUUCAAGUAGUCACAGCUGAAGCUGUAGCAGUCCUGAAAGGUGAACAAGAGAAGGAGGCCCAACACAAGGAUCAGCCUGCAGCUCUGCCUUUAGCAGCUGAAGAAACAGUUAAUCUGCCACCUUCCCCACCACCAUCGCCAGCAUCAGAACAAACAGCUGCACUGGAAGAAGCAACAAGUGGUGAAUCAGCUCAGGCUCCCAGUGCGUUUAAACAGGCGAAGGACAAAGUCACUGAUGGAAUAACCAAGAGCCCAGAAAAACGUUCUUCCCUCCCAAGACCUUCCUCCAUCCUCCCUCCUCGCAGGGGCGUAUCAGGAGACAGGGAGGAGAACUCGUUCUCUCUGAACAGCUCCAUCUCUUCAGCACGA